AUUUUAAUAAAUGUCAAGAUAUAUAUUUAGGUUAAUUUGCCUUUUGCAUCAUGCUUAUUGGAUUAAUUUAAAGUAUUUUAUUAACCAAAAAGUCUAGAUCUUAUGAUUGUUUGUUUUGAACUUUUAUUUUUGGGUAAAGAAUAAUUAAAACAAUCGUAUGGUGUGAUAAAUUAUUCGUUAGAUUUUAUAUUUGUUUUACUGCUUUGUAUUUAGUAAUAUGUUAUUGGCUAUUAGGUCAGUUGCAGGUUUAUAUUGUUUUUAUUAUUGUUUUUUUAUUGGGUUAAAAGUACCCAUUUUUUGUAAAGUUGUUAUAAACUUAGUUUUGUAAUAAUAUUAAAUUAAGUAGUUUGGCAGUAUAUAAUAAAGAUUAGAUAUUAAUAAUCAAUAAAUAAGUAAUUUAAUUAUGUUAAUUAUUUCUAGUAACUUUUCCGUCUGUUUAUUAAAAACAUUGCUAAUUUAAAAUUUAAUUAGUAGUACCUGCCCAGUGUUGUUAAUAAAUGGCCGCAGUAUAUUGACUGUGCAAAGGUAGCAUAAUUAAUUGCCUUUUAAUUGGGGGCUUGUUUGAAUGGUUUGACGAGAUAAGUGUUAAUAUUUAACAUUUGUGUGAAUUUAAUAUUAAGGGUUCAGAAUCCUUAUAUAUUAAUAAGACGGAAAGACCCUAGGAUCUUUUAUUUUUGUUUGGGGCAAAUUUGUAUAGUUUAUAGAAAUUGCGACCCUAAUGGGUUAAUGAGUAAAGUUACCCUAGGGAUAACAGAGUGAUAAUUAAUGAGAGAUCUUAUCGAAUUAAUUGUUUGCUACCUCGAUGUUGACUUAGGUUAGGGCUUAGGUGCAGUAGUUUAAGUUGUAGGUCUGUUCGACCUUUAAACCUCCAUGAGUUGAGUUAAGACCGGCGUGAGCCAGGUCGGUUCUUAUCUAUUGUAGAAAUUUAUCAGUACGAAAGGAUAGUAAAUUUUUUUAUU
rnacentral:rRNA from 1 species